rnacentral:rRNA from 1 species
AACGAACGCUGGCGGCGCGCUUAACACAUGCAAGUCGAACGAGAAGGCGUAGCAAUACGCUUGUACAGUGGCGAACGGGUGAGGAAUACAUGGGUAACCUACCCUCGAGUGGGGGAUAACCCGCCGAAAGGCGGGCUAAUACCGCGUACGCUUCCGAUCUUGCGGGAUUGGAAGGAAAGCUGUCCCUUGGGGAUGGCGCUCAAGGAUGGGCUCAUGUCCUAUCAGCUUGUUGGAGGGUAACGGCCUACCAAGGCAUCGACGGGUAGCUGGUCUGAGAGGACGAUCAGCCACACUGGCACUGCGACACGGGCCAGACUCCUACGGGGGCAGCAGUGAGGAAUAUUGCGCAAUGGGCGAAAGCCUGACGCAGCGACGCCGCGUGGGGGAUGAAGGUCUUCGGA